UACGUAGGGUGCGAGCGUUAAUCGGAAUUACUGGGCGUAAAGCGUGCGUAGGCGGUCCGCGAAGUCUGAUGUGAAAGCCCCGGGCUCAACCUGGGAACUGCAUUGGAAACUAACGGGCUCGAGUGUGGCAGAGGGGGGUGGAAUUCCACGUGUAGCAGUGAAAUGCGUAGAUAUCUGGAGGAACACCGGUGGCGAAGGCGACAUCCUGGACCGGUAUUGACGCUGAGGCGCGAAAGCCAGGGGAGCAAACGGG
rnacentral:rRNA from 1 species